rnacentral:rRNA from 1 species
GACAUCAGGAGGUUAGUGCAAUGGCAUAAGCCAGCUUGACUGCGAGCGUGACGGCGCGAGCAGGUGCGAAAGCAGGUCAUAGUGAUCCGGUGGUUCUGAAUGGAAGGGCCAUCGCUCAACGGAUAAAAGGUACUCCGGGGAUAACAGGCUGAUACCGCCCAAGAGUUCAUAUCGACGGCGGUGUUUGGCACCUCGAUGUCGGCUCAUCACAUCCUGGGGCUGAAGUAGGUCCCAAGGGUAUGGCUGUUCGCCAUUUAAAGUGGUACGCGAGCUGGGUUUAGAACGUCGUGAGACAGUUCGGUCCCUAUCUGCCGUGGGCGCUGGAGAACUGAGGGGGGCUGCUCCUAGUACGAGAGGACCGGAGUGGACGCAUCACUGGUGUUCGGGUUGUCAUGCCAAUGG